GACAGAGGUGCCGAGCGUUAGGCGGAAUCACUGGGCUUAAAGCGUGUGUAGGCGGACUUCUAAGUACCUUGUGAAAUCCCACGGCUCAACCGUGGAACUGCUCGGUAUACUGGUCGUCUUGAGCCACUUAGGGGCAGUCGGAACAGAUGGUGGAGCGGUGAAAUGCGUAGAUAUCAUCUGGAACGCCAACGGUGAAAACAGACUGCUGGGAGUGCGCUGACGCUGAGACACGAAAGCUAGGGGAGCGAACGGG
rnacentral:rRNA from 1 species